GCUCCGCUAGGCAAACUGGCAAAGCCGCCUGAUUUAGGUUCAGGUGUUUCGGGGUUCGACUCCCCGGUGGAGCAC
rnacentral:tRNA from 2 species